CAUGGAGUGUGCACAGGCAUUGUGAACUGCGCAUAGUUCCAGUACAUUGCUGUGGAGUGUUGAUUUGGAAAGAGACCAUCUUCUCUGUACUGUGAGCUUGCGUAGGUGGGCACCCCCACCCCAGCAGAGAGGCAUCCGUUGUGAUUAUCAAUUCGGGAGGAGGCUGAAGGAGAGGGACACCUGUGUAGAUGUUGUGCGGACCUAGACUGGUGAAGAGCGACAUUGUCUGGUGUAUGGCUGCGACGGCUUCUGCCCAAGUGUGAGCCUUGAUUAGACAGUCAUCUAAGUACUGGUAUAUCAUGACCCCGUGCUUGCGAAGGUGUACAGAUGCCAGGAGACUUGAUCGUGGCCCUCAAAUCUUUCAACGAAUGGAGCAACUUGUCGGCAAACAGUUUUGGACCCUCGACAGAAGGUUCUCCACAGUGGCUUGGACCUCCCUAGGGAAGUCUGACAGAUGAAGUCAAGAGGCUUGGUGCAUUACUAUGGCGGUGGCAAUGGUCCUUGCUGCUGUGUCAGCAAAGUCCAAAAGAGGGUUGGAGGGCAGUUCUAGCUAAGAGAUGGCUCUCAGAAAUGAACAAUGUAAACUACUCUUUUGUCAUCUAGUAUGUAGUCAAUAA